GGAUGCAUCGGAAAUUACUAGUGCUUGUUCUCAUCUUUCAAGCAAUUUUUCUUCAGUCUGGAAGCUGCAUGGGGACAUUCAGCGGCUGUUGAGGGUGAAAACUGAUAGAUUAUUCUGUUGGCUUUAUAAAACAGUAUAAUGUGCCUGUGCAGGAAUGCAUUUACAUCAGAACAUGGCAAAGCUUCAGAUUGUGCUAGAACUAGUGUAAGCAAGGCAGACUAUGCAUUGAGGAAUGGAUGCAGAUAAAUUUGCUUUGAAAGA